rnacentral:misc_RNA from 1 species
GAAAUGCGAUAAUUAAUGUGAAUUGCAGAAUUCAGUGAAUCAUCGAGUCUUUGAACGCACAUUGCGCCCCCUGGUAUUCCGGGGGGCAUGCCUGUCCGAGCGUCAUUGCUGCCAUCAAGCACGGCUUGUGUGUUGGGCUUCCGUCCCUGGCAACGGGGACGGGCCCAAAAGGCAGUGGCGGCACCAUGUCUGGUCCUCGAGCGUAUGGGGCUUUGUCACCCGCUCCCGUAGGUCCAGCUGGCAGCUAGCCUCGCAACCAAUCUUUUUAACCAGGUUGACCUCGGAUCAGGUAGGGAUACCCGCUGAACUUAAGC